rnacentral:rRNA from 1 species
AGGGCACCACCAGGAGCGGAGCCUGCGGCUUAAUUUGACUCAACACGGGGAAACUUACCCGGCCUGGACACUGGAAGGAUUGACAGAUUGAGAGCUCUUUCUUGAUUCAGUGGGUGGUGGUGCAUGGCCGUUCUUAGUUGGUGGAGCGAUUUGUCUGGUUAAUUCCGAUAACGAACGAGACUCUAGCCUAUUAAAUAGGCUCUCGGCUUUUAAACGCCGGGAGGACUUCUUAGAGGGACAGGUGGCGGUUCAGCCGCACGAAAGAGAGCAAUAACAGGUCUGUGAUGCCCUUUGUUGUCCGGGGCCGCACGCGCGCUACACUGAAGAGAUCAGCGUGCUUUACGUUCCUGCUCCGACCGGAGUGGGGAACCCAGUGAACCUUCUUCGUGAUUGGGAUAGAAGAUUGUAAUUAUUCUUCUUGAACGAGGAAUUCCCAGUAAAUGCGAGUCAUAAGCUCGCGUUGAUUACGUCCUGGCCCUUUGUACAAACCGCCCGUUCGCUCCUCCCGACUGCAGUAUU